GAGGUUGUGGCUCAGCGGUAGAGCACUCGCUUCUCACAUGUGAGACCCUGGGUUCGAUCCUCAGCACCACA
rnacentral:tRNA from 1 species